rnacentral:rRNA from 1 species
AGCGUGGAGACAGGUGGUGCAUGGCUGUCGUCAGCUCGUGUCGUGAGACGUUGGGUUAAGUCCCGCAACGAGCGCAACCCUCACCCCUUGUUGCCAUCAGGUCAUGCUGGGCACUCUAGGGGAACUGCCCCGGUCAACGGGGAGGAAGGCGGGGAUGACGUCAAGUCAUCAUGCCCCUUACGUCCUGGGCUACACACGUGCUACAAUGGCCGGUACAAAGGGAUGCAAGACCGCGAGGUGGAGCUAAACCCAAAAAGCCGGUCUAAGUUCAGAUUGGAGUCUGCAACUCGACUCCAUGAAGGAGGAAUCGCUAGUAAUCGCGCAUCAGCACGGCGCGGUGAAUACGUUCCCGGGCCUUGUACACACCGCCCGUCACACCACGAAAGCCAGCUGUACUCGAAGUCGCUGAG